UACAGAGGUCUCAAGCGUUGUUCGGAUUCAUUGGGCGUAAAGGGUGCGUAGGCGGCGCGGUAAGUCGGGUGUGAAAUCUCGGGGCUUAACUCCGAAACUGCAUUCGAUACUGCGGUGCUUGAGGACUGGAGAGGAGACUGGAAUUCAUGGUGUAGCAGUGAAAUGCGUAGAGAUCAUGAGGAAGACCAGUGGCGAAGGCGGGUCUCGUGGACAGUUCCUGACACUGAGACACGAAGGCCAGGGGAGCAAACGGG
rnacentral:rRNA from 1 species